rnacentral:tRNA from 1 species
CCCUGGCUGGCUAAGUCGGUAAAGCAUGCAACUCUGAAUCCCAGGAUCGUGAGUUCGAGCCCCACGCUGGGCA